rnacentral:rRNA from 1 species
ACGAGGCACUACGGUGCUGAAGCAACAAAUGCCCUGCUUCCAGGAAAAGCCUCUAAGCAUCAGGUAACAUCAAAUCGUACCCCAAACCGACACAGGUGGUCAGGUAGAGAAUACCAAGGCGCUUGAGAGAACUCGGGUGAAGGAACUAGGCAAAAUGGUGCCGUAACUUCGGGAGAAGGCACGCUGACACGUAGGUGAAGUGAUUUACUCAUGGAGCUGAAGUCAGUCGAAGAUACCAGCUGGCUGCAACUGUUUAUUAAAAACACAGCACUGUGCAAACACGAAAGUGGACGUAUACGGUGUGACGCCUGCCCGGUGCCGGAAGGUUAAUUGAUGGGGUCAGCGCAAGCGAAGCUCCUGAUCGAAGCCCCGGUAAACGGCGGCCGUAACUAUAACGGUCCUAAGGUAGCGAAAUUCCUUGUCGGGUAAGUUCCGACCUGCACGAAUGGCGUAAUGAUGGCCAGGCUGUCUCCACCCGAGACUCAGUGAAAUUGAACUCGCUGUGAAGAUGCAGUGUACCCGCGGCAAGACGGAAAGACCCCGUGAACCUUUACUAUAGCUUGACACUGAACAUUGAGCCUUGAUGUGUAGGAUAGGUGGGAGGCUUUGAAGUGUGGACGCCAGUCUGCAUGGAGCCGACCUUGAAAUACCACCCUUUAAUGUUUGAUGUUCUAACGUGGACCCGUGAUCCGGGUUGCGGACAGUGUCUGGUGGGUAGUUUGACUGGGGCGGUCUCCUCCUAAAGAGUAACGGAGGAGCACGAAGGUUGGCUAAUCCUGGUCGGACAUCAGGAGGUUAGUGCAAUGGCAUAAGCCAGCUUGACUGCGAGCGUGACGGCGCGAGCAGGUGCGAAAGCAGGUCAUAGUGAUCCGGUGGUUCUGAAUGGAAGGGCCAUCGCUCAACGGAUAAAAGGUACUCCGGGGAUAACAGGCUGAUACCGCCCAAGAGUUCAUAUCGACGGCGGUGUUUGGCACCUCGAUGUCGGCUCAUCACAUCCUGGGGCUGAAGUAGGUCCCAAGGGUAUGGCUGUUCGCCAUUUAAAGUGGUACGCGAGCUGGGUUUAGAACGUCGUGAGACAGUUCGGUCCCUAUCUGCCGUGGGCGCUGGAGAACUGAGGGGGGCUGCUCCUAGUACGAGAGGACCGGAGUGGACGCAUCACUGGUGUUCGGGUUGUCAUGCCAAUGGCACUGCCCGGUAGCUAAAUGCGGAAGAGAUAAGUGCUGAAAGCAUCUAAGCACGAAACUUGCCCCGAGAUGAGUUCUCCCUGAGACUUAAAGUCUCCUGAAGGAACGUUGAAGACGACGACGUUGAUAGGCCGGGUGUGUAAGCGCAGCGAUGCGUUGAGCUAACCGGUACUAAUGAACCGUGAGGCUUAACC